GAUCAUGGCUCAGGAUGAACGCUAGCUACAGGCUUAACACAUGCAAGUCGAGGGGCAGCAGGAUCUUAGCUUGCUAAGAUUGCUGGCGACCGGCGCACGGGUGAGUAACGCGUAUCCAACCUUCCCCUUAGUAGGGCAUAGCCCGUAGAAAUGCGGAUUAAUACCCUAUGUUAUUCGUCGAGGACAUCUGAAGUGAAUCAAAGGUUUACCGCUAAGGGAUGGGGAUGCGUCCGAUUAGGCAGCAGGCGGGGUAACGGCCCACCUGGCCAACGAUCGGUAGGGGUUCUGAGAGGAAGGUCCCCCACAUUGGAACUGAGACACGGUCCAAACUCCUACGGGAGGCAGCAGUGAGGAAUAUUGGUCAAUGGGCGCGAGCCUGAACCAGCCAAGUGGCGUGCAGGAUGACCGGCCCUAUGGGUUAGUAAACUGCUUUUAUGCGGGGAUAAAGUCACCCACGUGUGGGUGUUUGUAGGUACCGCAUGAAUAAGGACCGGCUAAUUCUGUGCCAGCCGCGGC
rnacentral:rRNA from 1 species